rnacentral:rRNA from 1 species
UCUUGGUCAAUUAGAGGAAGUAAAAGUCGUAACAAGGUUUCCGUAGGUGAACCUGCGGAAGGAUCAUUACCGAAAAAGGGGGCUUCGCCCCCGGGGGUUCCGACCCCUCCUCCUUCACCCACUGCGUACCUACUAUUGUUGCUUUGGCGGGCCCGCGACCGCGACCCGCCGGAGGCCCUUCUAAACCCUGUUUGAAUAGUGGUGUCUGAGCUGCUUGUUAAUAGAUAAAAACUUUCAACAACGGAUCUCUUGGUUCCAGCAACGAUGAAGAACGCAGCGAAAUGCGAUACGUAAUGUGAAUUGCAGAAUUCAGUGAAUCAUCGAAUCUUUGAACGCAUAUUGCGCCCCUCGGCAUUCCGGGGGGCAUACCUGUUCGAGCGUCAUUACACCCCUCAAGCACCGCUUGGUCUUGGGCGUUCGCCGGUAGGCGUGCCCGAAAAUCAGUGGCGGCCCGGUGCGGCUUCGAGCGUGUUGAAAUGCCCUUUCGCUCUGGAAGCCCGCCCCGUGGCCUGCCGUUUAUAUCCACCACGGAUCUCGUUUAAUUGACCUCGGAUCAGGUAGGGAUACCCGCUGAACUUAAGCAUAUCAAAAAGCGGGAGGAA